UCUACGGGUGGCUGCAGUGGGGAAUAUUGGACAAUGGGCGAAAGCCUGAUCCAGCCAUGCCGCGUGUGUGAAGAAGGCCUUCGGGUUGUAAAGCACUUUCAGUGGGGAAGAAAGCCUUGGGGCUAAUACCCUCGAGGAAGGACAUCACCCACAGAAGAAGCACCGGCUAACUCCGUGCCAGCAGCCGCGGUAAUACGGAGGGUGCGAGCGUUAAUCGGAAUUACUGGGCGUAAAGCGCGCGUAGGCGGUCUGAUAAGCCGGUUGUGAAAGCCCCGGGCUCAACCUGGGAACGGCAUCCGGAACUGUCAGGCUAGAGUGCAGGAGGGGAAGGUAGAAUUCCCGGUGUAGCGGUGAAAUGCGUAGAGAUCGGGAGGAAUACCAGUGGCGAAGGCGGCCUUCUGGACUGACACUGACGCUGAGGUGCGAAAGCGUGGGUAGCAAACAGGAUUAGAUACCCUGGUAGUC
rnacentral:rRNA from 1 species